ensembl:processed_transcript Gm14005 predicted gene 14005
GACAAUGAAGACUGAGGUGUCUGCUUUGCAGUUUUUUUUUUUCUUUUCUUGUCUUUUUUUUUUUUUUUCCUAAUCAUGUGGACAUCUCUGAGAAUGAGGGGACUGGGUGACUUUGCAGUGUCUGCUUUCUAAGUUUCAAAGUGACUUUCCAGGCAAGCUGCGCAUAUCUUGGGAUCUUCACAGCACAGUGGCUGGGAAGGCAGGCGGACCCGUCUAUCAGCUUCUCCCUGGUGGGAUUCUUGCGGGGGCAGGGAUCGAGUCAAACCUUGGAAAUGACGUCAUUCUGAACUCAUCUGCCUUUAUCCAGAAGACUACCAAAGCAAACCAGAGGACCAGAGAACAGCAGCUGCUCUGGACAAAGAGGGGAGGACACCCACACCCACAUACCAAGUUCUGGUUGACUUCUACAGCAGAAGAAGCAGGAGACACAAGAAGACUCAGAGGGACUGAAAUAUAAGAAGAUCGAUGCCAGAUGUUGUUGUGAUGACAACCUGUUGGGUUGAAGGACCCCAGGAAGACACAGUCCAGAUUCACAGGGACAGAGCCACUCACCUAUUGUCACAUGCAGCACAGAAUAAUGCAGAGGCAUGGCAUCAUAACAAUUCCUGAAUGGUGCUUCUCAGAAGAUGGUACUUCUUGGGGUCUGGUACCUGGACUAGUGAGGCUUCUCAGGGGAUGGGACCCCAACCCAGAAUGACA